CAGAGUUGGACAGUCUUGGGGCUUCGUCACACUUUUUCGGCAGCUUUCAACGCCAGAGGUUGAAACAGAGUUGCUGCACAGCAGAAAUUGGCUCCUACAUCAUCAGAACGCUGCCUACCAACGACCUCCUACAUAUUUCAGGAUUGAUUGACAACGGAAACAGCGAAGAUUCUUGUGAUGAAGACAUUCCAGCGUCUCAAGGAAUUCCACAUGCUCGCCAAAAAGUGAAGGGUCUCAUAACCGAGAAUUCAGAUGGGAAAGAUACUGGCGUUCAUGGGUCGUCAGCAGACAACCCUGAUGAAGCAUCUCAAACAAUUGUAAAUAAAAU